rnacentral:rRNA from 1 species
AGGAUGAACGCUGGCGGCGUGCCUAAUACAUGCAAGUCGAACGAGGUCUUCGGACCGAGUGGCGAACGGGUGAGUAAUACGUUGGUACCUACCCCGAAGUGGGGAAUAACUGCCCGAAAGGGUGGCUAAUACCGCAUAAUACCGCAAGGUUAAAGCAGUAAUGCGCUUCGGGAGGGGCCUGCGUCCCAUUAGCUAGUUGGUAGGGUAAUGGCCUACCAAGGCGACGAUGGGUAGCUGGAUCGAGAGGUUGACCAGCCACACUGGGACUGAGAUACGGCCCCAGACUCCUACGGGAGGCAGCAGUAAGGAAUCUUCCACAAUGGACGAAAAGUCUGAUGGAGCAACGCCGCGUGCAGGAUGACGGCCUUCGGUUGUAAACUGCUUUUAUAUGGAAGAUUAUGACGGUACCAUAUGAAUAAGGACCGGCUAACUACGUGCCAGCAGCCGC